AAGACAAGUACAGCUGAUGGAUUUUACUAUGCAUCGGCUAACACAGAUAUGUCUAUUCUAACCUAUGAAGGCUUCAGGUGGUUCAGUAAUGCUGAAAAAGGAUGAUAUGAUGGUACUGUGCUGACAUUGGAGGAACAAGCAGCGAAUCGGGAACAAAUGAGGAAAAUUGAGAACCUUUGGUUAGAGAAGUAAGAUGGAAGCCAGUUAGAUGAACCUUGUAGAUGAACCUUGUUGUGUAUUUUAUCUAAUGGUUUCAAACCAUGUUGUUCAUGAUGUGGAGAUGAAUCCUAUUGGUCAUGUAAGUUAGAUGUCCUGAUUGUGAACCCUUGAAUGUUUCAGAAUGUUGGUUUGAGACCUAGACUGCUUGGAAAUAUUGGUUUUAAACAUUGUUUGA